ensembl:lncRNA
AUGGCUGUGGCUAUGUUUCAACAAAACUUUAUUUGCACAAACAAGCAGCAAACUGAAUCUAGCCUGCCCGAAGAGGUGGAGGUGAGGUGUUGCAACAGAUCCAUGUGGCUGCAAAGUCUAAAAUAUUUACUAUCUGUCCUUUCCCAGAAAAAUUUUGCCAAUCCCUUUUGUAUAUCAAGCCUGUUUGAAAUUCUCUUUUUGUUUAACUUUUUUUCUUUUCUUUUUUGUUUUUUUGUUUCAGACCCUAUUUCAAAAGUUAAAGAAAAUGGGCUUGGGUAUGAAAGAAUGGGAAAGAAGAAAGAGAAACAGGUUUUAAUUGUCCUUUGGGUGCUCGGGGAAGCUGGACUACAGAAGAGAGAACAGUACAUUUUUUGACAAUCAACAUUUUUGCAUUAUUGGAGAAACUUGAUGGAUUUAAUAGUUCCUUCAGCAACUAUAGAAUGGAAGUCUUGUAUGUAUGUCUACACAACUAAUUAUAUAAAUACCACAUAGAUGUAUCUUUAUUUAAUCAACAGUAUCUCUAAAGUUUGUGACUAUUCUCUAGAGCAGUGUUUACCGAUUUGCCUAAUCAUCUGAAUUGCUCAUGAAGACCCUUGGAAGACAGAUUCUCAGGGUUCUCCCAGGAUUCUCUAGUCACUGUAUCUGAGUUUGGGAAUCCAUGAUUUUACAUGAUUUUUUAACCUCUGAAGGUAACUCUGAUCCUAAGCCAGCUUUGGGAACUACUCUGGGUAAUGAGGGGGUGAAUGUCUAUAUCUCUGUCUCAGACCUUGCUAGUCCUCCCUUACUUCCUCUAACCUGUCCUCUCCCUGGGUCCCACUCAGUGACCAGUGAGCACAUCGUUUCUUGUCUUUGCUGAAUGAGGCUGUUAGGAGGAACACACAAGACCAAGCUGGUAAAGCAAGAGAGAUUUAUUAAGGCAUCAGAGGGGGACGGGCUAGGCUCAAGAUGGUGCCAGCACUGACUGUGACGAGAUGCUAGGCUUAUACCUUUAUGGCUGGAACUUGUGGCAGGAACAAUGAAGAGGGAGGAGGGGAGAGUCAAGGGGGUAGGGGUCGAGUCCCAUGACAGAGGGCAGUUAAUCCUUGUAGGUGGCUAAUCUAUGCAGGCAAUUGUUUUCCACAGGCCAUUGUUUCUUGCUGCCGAACUUGAGCAUCCACAUUCCCAGAAAGGGUGUAGAUCUUGGCUGGGCCAUACCCGUGUCCGAAGCAGGUUUCCAAGGUGAACAGCCACAUUUGGGGGGGAAGGGGGUCUGUCUCUGUCCUCCUGGGAACCUAUCGGGGGUGAGGGCACCUCACACACCACACUGUGUAUUUCUUCAGUGUCCAGGAAAGCAGUGCAAACAUUUUCUGCCUUAAUUGUAGUUACUAAGGUGAGUUAUGCUUUUAUUUCUAUCAUUGUUCUAUUUACUUCCCAUUGACAUCUGCAAAAGUUCCUCAAAUGACAAAUUAAACUCUGACUUCUGCUUUCUGACUAAAAAGUGAGGUUCGUAGAUACCCAAAAUUUAGAUCAUAAAAGGAUAUUAUCCCCUCUACCCUGUUAUUCAUCUCCCUGCCCUUUCCCACUUUUAAAAAUGUCACUGCAACCAUUAGCAAUUAAAAUCAAAAGGGACCUUGAACUCUGAAAGUUUCGUGAUCUCAGUCACCCAUUAAUUUAAAUCUUUCGUCCCGACUGUGGCGGGUUUACAUUAGCCUAAUGUAACAGGCUUUGGAAUAUAUAUAUAUAACUACACUCAAUCCACAGCCAUUUUUUCACCAGUUCCUCUGUCUUCCAUAGUAUAAAUUAAUAAAAUAACUAUAUACAGUAGUGCGUAUAUCCC